rnacentral:misc_RNA from 1 species
AAUGACAGGAAAUAUAAAGAAUAGCAAUUCUAGUGACCCUAACUACAAAAAGAGAAGGUUCGAGAGGAGCAAAAUUGCUAUCAGAAGCUAAGCUGAUAUUAGACCGACAUACCCAGCAACUAAUGCCAACAGGCAUGACACAACAUACGCACCAGCAACAAUAGUCGGUUCUUCGAAUCCACAUAAUUCAAGGUGAUGAUGAAAAGGUGCCAUCCGAAACAGGUGGUGCCCAGCUCCACUCAACCACCUAGUUGCCUUGAAGUAUGCUGCCUGCAUAAUAACUGAUGAUGUUUCCAAAAAAAAGAAUCCAGAUGAAAUAAAUAAUGGAAAGAACAUUCCAGUGCAAGCAGCCAUUGCAGCUAAUCCUCCACCUAAUGCCAAGGAUCCUAUAUCUCCCAUAAAUAUAGAUGCCCUGUAUCGGUUGUGCAACAGAAAACCAACACAGGCUCCUGCCAUUGAUGCUCCAAAAAUAGCAAGUUCUGAACAUAUUGGUAGUACUGCAAUCGACAUUGCUACAAAAGCCAGUGCAGCAGUCCCACCAGCUAGCCCAUCAAGCCCAUCUGUUAAGUCAACUCCACUUCCCAUGGAAACAAAACAAAAUGAAGUCAACAAUAAGUAACAUUUUCCAAGGCACACAAGGCCCAAUGGUGCAGGUAGAGGAAUCAACAUUUUCAUGCUGUAGGGUGAUGAUAUACUUGUAGUGUCCAACCAAAAGGCAAACAAGGUCCCAGCAGCCAUCUCCAAGAACAAUUUUAUCUGUGAAGAUAGACCAUUGUUAUGAUUCUUAAUGAGGCUUAAGAUGUCAUCUAGUAGACCAAUUGAAGCAAAUGCUAGUGUUGCUACUGCUGCUCCAGAAACUUCAACAGAAGAAAAACCAGCUAUGAGUUUUGCAACACCGAUGCCAAUUGGAAUAAAAAAUAAACCACCCAUUGUGGGGGUUCCCCUUUUCUUGUGGUGCCUAACCGGUGCUUCGUUCCUUACAUUUUGAUGAACCUUCAAAGCAUUGAGAAACGGAACAAAAAGAUAACCCACAGUAGAAACUAAAGCUGUUGAUAUAAAAAAGGGUCGGGACAAAUAAAAUGGAGCAAGGGGUUGUCUGACAAUUUUCCAUGCACACCAAUCCACAAAUAAAAGCAGCGCCAAAAGGAAGACAAUCAAUCCCAAAUUAUUUAGAAUCCCAAGUCUGAUCCUAUGUUUUCUGCGCCCCUUUGCAAUCAUUGCGAAUCUGGUAGCCGUAACUGUGAGAGCAUCAUUUGUUGAUACAUUACCAGAAGGCAAAUCAAUAUCAGAGACUGGAUUUAAGAUAAAGUCGCCAUCAC